GACGAACGCUGGCGGCGUGCUUAACACAUGCAAGUCGAACGGAAAGGCCCUGCUUUUGUGGGGUGCUCGAGUGGCGAACGGGUGAGUAACACGUGAGUAACAUGCCCUUGACUUUGGGAUAACUUCAGGAAACUGGGGCUAAUACCGGAUAGGAGCUCCUGCUGCAUAGGGGGGGUUGGAAAGUUUCGGCGGUUGGGGCUAGACUCGCGGCUUAUCAGCUUGUUGGUGGGGUAGUGGCAUACCAAGGGUUUGACGGGUAGCCGGCCUGAGAGGGUGACCGGCCACAUUGGGACUGAGAGACGGCCCAGACUGCUACGGGAGGCAGCAGUGGGGAAUAUGGCACAAUGGGCGGAAGCCUGAUGCAGCAACGCCGCGUGCGGGAUGCCGUCCUUCGGGUUGUAAACCGCUUUCGCCUGUGACGAAGCGUGAGUGACGGUAAUGGGUAAAGAAGCACCGGCUAACUACGUG
rnacentral:rRNA from 1 species